AACGAACGCUGGCGGCAUGCCUAACACAUGCAAGUCGAACGAGACCUUCGGGUCUAGUGGCGCACGGGUGCGUACCGCGUGGGAACCUGCCCUUAGGUUCGGAAUAACUCCCCGAAAGGGGUGCUAAUACCGGAUAAUGUCUUCGGACCAAAGAUUUAUCGCUUUUGGAUGGGCCCGCGUUGGAUUAGCUAGUUGGUAGGGUAAAAGCCUACCAAGGCGACGAUCCAUAGCUGGUCUGAGAGGAUGAUCAGCCACACUGGGACUGAGACACGGCCCAGACUCCUACGGGAGGCAGCAGUGGGGAAUAUUGGACAAUGGGCGAAAGCCUGAUCCAGCAAUGCCGCGUGAGUGAUGAAGGCCUUAGGGUUGUAAAGCUCUUUUACCCGGGAUGAUAAUGACAGUACCGGGAGAAUAAGCUCCGGCUAACUCCGUG
rnacentral:rRNA from 1 species